AUGGCAGNUUANGUAGUUGGUGGGGUAAAGGCUNACCAAGCCGACGAUCUGUAGCUGGUCUNAGAGGACGACCAGCCNCNCUGGGANUNAGACNCGGCCCAGACUCCUACGGGAGGCAGCAGUNGGGAAUUUUNGACAAUGGGCGCAAGCCUGAUCCAGCCAUGCCGCGUGCAGNAUGAAGGCCUUCGGGUUGUAAACUGNUUUUGUACGGAACGAAAAGUCUCUUUCUAAUAAAGAGAGAUCAUGACGGUACCGUAAGAAUAAGCNCCGGCUAANUACGUGCCAGCAGCCGCGGUAAUACGUAGGGUGCNAGCGUUAAUCGGAAUUACUGGGCGUAAAGCGUGCGCAGGCGGUUAUGUAAGACAGUUGUGAAAUCCCCGGGCUCAACCUGGGAANUGCAUCUGUGACUGCAUCGCUGGAGUGCGGCAGAGGGGGAUGGAAUUUCCGCGUGUAGCAGUGAAAUGCGUAGAUAUGCGGAGGAACACCNAUGGCGAAGGCAAUCCCCCUGGGCCUGCACUGACGCUCAUGCACGAAAGCGUGGGGA
rnacentral:rRNA from 1 species